UACGGGGGGGGCAAGCGUUGUUCGGAAUUACUGGGCGUAAAGGGCUCGUAGGCGGCCAACUAAGUCAUACGUGAAAUCCCUCGGCUUAACCGGGGAACUGCGUCUGAUACUGGAUGGCUUGAGUUCGGGAGAGGGAUGCGGAAUUCCGGGUGUAGCGGUGAAAUGCGUAGAUAUCUGGAGGAACACCGGUGGCGAAGGCGGCAUCCUGGACCGAUACUGACGCUGAGGAGCGAAAGCCAGGGGAGCAAA
rnacentral:rRNA from 1 species